rnacentral:rRNA from 1 species
UACGUAGGGUGCGAGCGUUGUCCGGAAUUAUUGGGCGUAAAGAGCUUGUAGGCGGUUUGUCGCGUCUGCCGUGAAAAUCCGAGGCUCAACCUCGGACUUGCGGUGGGUACGGGCAGACUAGAGUGUGGUAGGGGAGACUGGAAUUCCUGGUGUAGCGGUGAAAUGCGUAGAUAUCGAGAGGAACACCUGCGGCGAAGGCGGGUUGCUGGGCUGACACUGACGCUGACAGCGCGAAAGCUAGGGGAGCGAACGGG